CAAGCUCCUCCUCCACUCUCUGCCUUGACAGGAGCUGAUGAAAGCUCUGCUCUACUCUCCUGGGAAGAACUAAUAGACUUUUGUCUUUUCAAAGAGGAUGACCAGCCUUUCCUUUUCUUAAAAUCUUCGGGGCCAGUUUUGCAGGUGAAAAUCAGGAAUGAGGAACAAGAAAGACCUGCCUCAGAAGCUGUACAUAAAAAUAACCACAAAGUCACACAAAACAACUGCAUGAAGGGACUGCGAUCCAGCUGUCAUGUCAUUCUGAUGGGGUUCGGAUGAUGUGACCAGCAACCUCUUCAUUCAGAUGCAUAAACAGCAACGUCUGACAGCUGAGUUACAGCACAUGGCAAAGGAGCUCUGAAUAAAGAACAGCCACCUGAAGCAGCUCCUGAACUCUACUCAUCAAAACUCCAGCGAGUGUGGCCGUAUGACAGUGCUCAUUGACGCAGUGCUGUAAAACCUGACCUCGCUGUCUGCUGAGAAGACCAAGCUGAGCUUGCUGCUGAAGAACACGUGGCAAGAAAACGCUCAGCUGAGCCUGGACCUGAUGAACACAUUGCAAAAAAAA